AUUGAACGCUGGCGGCAUGCCUUACACAUGCAAGUCGAACGGCAGCGCGGACUUCGGUCUGGCGGCGAGUGGCGAACGGGUGAGUAAUGUAUCGGAACGUACCAUUCAGUGGGGGAUAACGCAGCGAAAGUUGCGCUAAUACCGCAUAUUCUGUGCGCAGGAAAGCAGGGGAUCGCAAGACCUUGCGCUGAUUGAGCGGCCGAUAUCAGAUUAGCUAGUUGGUGAGGUAAAGGCUCACCAAGGCGACGAUCUGUAGCGGGUCUGAGAGGAUGAUCCGCCACACGGGAAAUGAGACACGGUCCAGACUCCUACGGGAGGCAGCAGUGGGGAAUCUUGGACAAUGGGCGCAAGCCUGAUCCAGCCAUGCCGCGUGAGUGAAGAAGGCCUUCGGGUUGUAAAGCUCUUUCGGCCGGGAAGAAAUCGUAUGGGUUAAUACCCUGUGCGGAUGACGGUACCGGCAUAAGAAGCACCGGCUAACUACGUGCCAGCCGCCGCGGUAAAAC
rnacentral:rRNA from 1 species